rnacentral:lncRNA from 1 species
AUGUCCUCCUUCAAACAAAUUGAUUUUACUAUGUAUGGAGGAAUUUUUUCGAAAAAAAAAUUUUAUGAAGUCAGGGAAAUUUUUUCUUUUAUUAGACAGAAUAACCAAAUAAAGUUAGAAAGUUCUUUUUAUUCCAUAACAAUAAAAUCCAUGCUGAUGAUAAAUAAAGACCCCAUAGAAGAAUCUAUGAUAAUAUAUGAUGAUUCUUAUAAUAUGGGCAUAUAUUUAACAAAUGAAAUACAUAAUUUAUUAUUAGAACAUAAUUUAUAUUACUAUCAUAAUGAGAAAAGCAAAAACAUAGAGAAUAAUAAAAAAUUGGAUUUUUAUAAAGAGAAUAUACAAGGAAUCAUUAUACGACUAACAAAUGAAUUAAUUAAAAAUAGGACAUACGUUAAGUUAUCGUCUAAGAGUUUGAGUUUGUUCGCAUGGGCAUACAUUUAUUUUGACAUAAAACAGAUAAUCGCAAAAUCUGAUAACAGAUUAGUUGAAGUUGAACAUUGUAACACUUGGUUAGACAUAAUAAAACUGGCAUGUUUGUACAACCAGAUAUCCGAAUGUCACACAAGCCCAUUUUCAGUAGAAUUUAAAGAUGUUCUUAGAAAUAUGAAGGAUGAUGAAAAUGCAGUUAAGGCCUUAGAAUAUAUUAGCAUUUACUUUUAGAAAAGAGAAGUAGGAUAUAACAAUAUUCUUGUUUUUUAUUUUUAAACUUGCAAUUUUGAAUAUAUAUACAUAAAAUAAUACCUUGUCUUUACAUUUUUAAAAUAAAUUAAAAAAUUAUACAUAUAAAUGCUUUCCA